rnacentral:rRNA from 1 species
GAUGAACGCUAGCGGCAGGCCUAAUACAUGCAAGUCGAACGGUGUCUUCGGACAUAGUGGCGCACGGGUGCGUAACACGUAUGCAACCUACCUUACAUUGGGGGAUAGCCUUUCGAAAGGGAGAUUAAUACCGCAUAAGACAGUAGCUGGGCAUCCAGCAGCUGUUAAAGAUUUAUCGAUGUAAGCUGGGCAUGCGUCCAAUUAGCUAGUUGGUGAGGUAACGGCUCACCAAGGCAAUGAUUGGUAGGGGAACUGAGAGGUCAAUCCCCCACACUGGCACUGAGAUACGGGCCAGACUCCUACGGGAGGCAGCAGUAGGGAAUAUUGGGCAAUGGACGCAAGUCUGACCCAGCCAUGCCGCGUGCAGGAUGAAGGCGUUAUGCGUUGUAAACUGUUUUUAUACAGGAAGAAACGACUCUUGCGAGAGGCAUUGACGGUACUGUAUGAAUAAGCACCGGCUAACUCUGUGCCAGCCGCCGCAGUAAUAC